rnacentral:rRNA from 1 species
UGAGUAGGAGGGCGUGAAGGUUGUACAGAAGUGUGUAGUGUGAACUCGCAUGGAACGGCCUUUAGUGCAGAUCUUGGUGGUAGUAGCAAUUAUUCAAAUGAGACCUUUGAAGACUGAAGCGGAGAAGGGUUCCGUGUGAACAGUAAUUGGACACGGGUUAGCCGGUCCUAAGGACGAGAUUUGUUUCUUUGAGAGGAGCUUUGCUCUAGUGUCCAAAAGGGUGUCAGUUUAAAAUCACUGAGCUAGGACGUGGGUAUAAUGUGGUAACACAACUGAACUUGGGUACACAAAGUAUGGCCCCGCGUAGCGUUUUCUUUGCUGUUUAACAGCUUGUCAAUCCCUGGAAAUAGAUCAUCUAGAGAUAGGGAUUGACAGCUGGAAAAGCAUUCUACUAUUUAGAGUGUGCGGUGCGCUGACCUUUGUCCUUGAAACCCCAAGGGAUUCUUAUUAUCCGCACCCCUAGCCGUACCAAAAACCGCAUCAGGUCUCCAAGGUUAUAAGCCUCUGGUCAUUAGGCCAAAGUAGAUAAGGGAAGUCGGCAAAUUAGAUCCGUAACUUUGGAAAAAGGAUUGGCUCUGAGGGCUGGGUAUUAAGAGACUUGCACUAAUUUCAUCGUUGGGUUCAAGGCUACUUGAAGUUCCGGCGGAUAGUGGAAUUGUUCACGACGUUGUCUGCAGUGUUUGUAUCUUCUUACAUGAAACAGCUAACUCAGAACUGAAGCGGACACGUGGAAUCCGACUGUUUAAUUAAAACAAAGCAUUGCGAUGGCCUUGAUUGGCGUUGACGUAAUGUGAUUUCUGCCCAGUGCUCUGAAUGUCAAUGUGGUGAAAUUCAACUAAGCGCGGGUAAACGGCGGGAGUAACUAUGACUCUCUUAAGGUAGCCAAAUGCCUCGUCAUCUAAUUAGUGACGCGCAUGAAUGGAUUAACGAGAUUCCUACUGUCCCUAACUACUAUCUAGCGAAACCACAGCCAAGGGAACGGGCUUGGAUAAGUCAGCGGGGAAAGAAGACCCUGUUGAGCUUGACUCUAGUUUGACUUUGUGAAACGACUUGAAGGGUGUAGCAUAAGUGGGAGUGAAAACGUCCGUGAAAUACCACUACCUCCAAUGUCGUUUUACUUAUUUCGUGACGUUAAGACUUGCUUCUGCAAGGUUUUGCUUUAAGGCUUCGGCUGAUUAAGGCGAAAGACAUAGUCAGAUGGAGAGUUUGGCUGGGGCGGUACAUCUGUUAAACAACAACGCAGGUGUCCUAAGGCAAGCUCAAUGAGAACAGAAAUCUCAUGUUGACCAAAAGGGGAAAAGCUUGCUUGAUUUUGAUUUCCAGUACGAAUACAAACUGCGAAAGCAUGGCCUAUCGAUCCUUUAGAUCUGAGAAGCUUUCAGCUAGAGGUGCCAGAAAAGUUACCACAGGGACCUGUUCGCCAAAAAUUCAGAAAAAUCGCUGAAUCUUGGAGAAAUCGGCUGCCGCCGAAAAACUAAGUAUCUAGACAUCUUUGCGCAACUCUUGCGCUACUGGGAAACCGAAUUUUUCCCGGAAAAAACGGUUUUUUCCACCCCCUUUCUUAUUUGAUUUAAAAGUCUCCAUCCUAGACGAAUGCAAAGACAACGACAAUAAAGUAAUGUCGUCAAAAAGCGGUGCUAUUAUGACUAGGAAACCAAGGAGAGGAGAAGGAAUCUCAACAAAAAGGGUGAAGCGAGGCCCACAGCAAGACCUAGAGGACAUAACAAAGGCUGU